rnacentral:rRNA from 1 species
AUUGAACGCUGGCGGCAUGCCUUACACAUGCAAGUCGAACGGUAACAGGUCUUCGGAUGCUGACGAGCGGCGAACGGGUGAGUAAUACAUCGGAACGUGCCUAGUAGUGGGGGAUAACUACUCGAAAGAGUGGCUAAUACCGCAUGAGAUCUACGGAUGAAAGCAGGGGAUCGCAAGACCUUGUGCUACUAGAGCGGCCGAUGGCAGAUUAGGCAGUUGGUGGGAUAAAAGCUUACCAAGCCGACGAUCUGUAGCUGGUCUGAGAGGACGAUCAGCCACACUGGGACUGAGACACGGCCCAGACUCCUACGGGAGGCAGCAGUGGGGAAUUUUGGACAAUGGGCGAAAGCCUGAUCCAGCAAUGCCGCGUGCAGGAUGAAGGCCUUCGGGUUGUAAACUGCUUUUGUACGGAACGAGAAGCCCCGGGUUAAUACCCUGGGGUCAUGACGGUACCGUAAGAAUAAGCACCGGCUAACUACGUGCCAGCCGCCGCGGUAA